AUGGAAGAUCAGAUCGAGGGGUCAAAAUCCCUAGUCCAUCUACAAUUCCCCUCGGGCCUGGCAAAUCUCUCUUCUCCCUCACCCCACCUUCUCCACCACCGCGGCCAGGCCGGCGUGGCGGCGUGCCACACAGCCAUCCAUCCACUCGAUCUGCACCAUCCACCAUGCCAUCACCAGCGCCAUCUUCGCCACCAUCCACCAGCACCACCAUCGGCGCCCGAUCCACCACCGCGCCUCCAUCAACGCCGCCACCAGCACCGCCUCACCACCUCGCGCCGCCUCCCAUCCAUCUCCCUGCUGCUCCUCCACCUUUCUUCUCCUCCUAACCCUACUGAUGUUCUUCUUCUCUUCUCCAUCUACUGA
rnacentral:rRNA from 1 species